rnacentral:rRNA from 1 species
GACGUAGGGCGCGAGCGUUGUCCGGAUUUAUUGGGCGUAAAGAGCUCGUAGGCGGCUUGUCGCGUCGUCUGUGAAAUCCCGCGGCUCAACCGCGGGUCUGCAGUCGAUACGGGCAGGCUAGAGUUCGGUAGGGGAGACUGGAAUUCCUGGUGUAGCGGUGAAAUGACGCAGAUAUCAGGAGGAACACCGGUGGCGAAGGCGGGUCUCUGGGCCGAUACUGACGCUGAGGAGCGAAAGCGUGGGGAGCGAACAGG